GUAUUCUCUUUGGCAGCACAAAUAUUAAAACUGGAAUGAUACAGAGAUUAGCAUGGCCCUUGCAGAAGGAUAAUGUGCAAAUUCAUGAACUGUUCUGUAUUUUA
rnacentral:snRNA from 1 species